UACGUAGGGUGCGAGCGUUGUCCGGAAUUACUGGGCGUAAAGAGUUCGUAGGCGGUUUGUCGCGUCGUUCGUGAAAACUUGGGGCUUAACUCCAAACGUGCGGGCGAUACGGGCAGACUUGAGUACUACAGGGGAGACUGGAAUUCCUGGUGUAGCGGUGAAAUGCGCAGAUAUCAGGAGGAACACCGGUGGCGAAGGCGGGUCUCUGGGCCGAUACUGACGCUGAGGAGCGAAAGCAUGGGUAGCGAACAGG
rnacentral:rRNA from 1 species